rnacentral:misc_RNA from 1 species
GUUGACUCGGGCGGCGGCGUCUUCCUCUUUUUGCGCUCGGGUGGCGCCUCGUGGCCCUUGGUGGACAGCGCCGUCCGGCUCGUGAACGCCCUCUUCGCCGCGGACGACGGCUUCGUGCUGGUGCUAUGCUCUGGCGAUAGGGCCUGCGGCGGCGGCGGCGGCCUCAUGGCGGUAACGGCGUGUUGUGAUUUUGCACUUGCAGCGUGGGAGAGGGAGCGAGGAGUGGAGAUUUUCAGGAGACAGCUCGCAAUGUUGCUUGGGCAGCCCACUGGUGAUGCAUCUCCAGGAAAGAGUACUCCAACAAAUAAUAAAAGGACUACCAAGAAAUUGACACAGAGUAAGAAGGAAAAAAUUAGCACCUAACUGUUUGUCCACCUAUGUAUCAACUUGAUGUCUUGAUUUAUGAACAAGAUGUCAGCUAUGUAUGAACUUCCUCACAGUAGUGUUUACCAAAUUAGCACCUAAUUGUGUGAAUCUGGAAUUGUCUUUGAUCCAAAUUGGUGAGGUUUGCUGUAAAGUUGUCUGCAUGUUUUAGAAUUACAGGUGCUUCACUAGAAAUUACAAGUGAUGCGUUUUGGUAAACACUACUCAAAAGUGCUGUAAAGUUGCUGCUGUGGGGAAGAGCCAGC